rnacentral:lncRNA from 1 species
CAUCCUGCCUCUGUGGAUGGGGGAGGCAGUCCCUUUACUGGGACCUUUAAUCUGGGAGUGGUGGGGCGGCAGGUAGAGUCCAGGUAAAGGACCGCAAGAGUGGACCACAUGCUUGAAUUUAUGCGGGUUCCCUACCUCCUGGCCCCUGUCCUGCACAGGACACGACUCACUGUCUGCUUCCGAGAACGAUCCGGAUUCGUCGCUGGAGUUGGUUCCAUAAGACUGCUCACAUUUAAUUUGGGGUCGGACUUGGUUGUACAUUCCAUCUCCCAUCAGGCCUGGUUCCUGAUGUUCUGUGGCAAGGAAUCUGGCUCCCUGGGAACAGGGCGAGGAGGAGAACUCACAGAGAGGGAGGCUGCAGGGUGAGCCCCCACUCCCGUCCUCUGCGUAGGAAUAGGAAGAGCACGAGCUGGAGGUCCUGGUCCUGGUCUCCAAGGGGGGCGAGCGAGGACAGACUUUGAUUGGCACCGGGCAGCUAGUGUUGGGCCGUAUCCUUCCUGGCAAAUGGUCAGCCAUCAGCCCACCGUGGGAGUAGGCCUGUGAGCUGGGGAGGGACUGGCCAGCCCCCACCCACAGACCCUUUGGCACCGGCUCAGAGAGGUCUUUGUCCAAACUGCUUACCCCAGAAUAUGAAUGCACCGCAGUGCUCACUUGGUCACAAGCGCUCGAGGAGAAGAUCACACUUCUCCGGUCCAGCUCUCCUUCCUGUUUACAGAGAGCCUCCAACCCAGGCCCCUUGAGGGGCGACCCCAUGGUGAAGUUGGACACGUCCUUCUGGCCCAGGUGGGGCUGUCCGUAACUCCCCGGGAAAGGGGUGUAGUCAGUUUUAAGGUCACCCUGAGUGAUCCCCUUGUCAAAAGGGCACGCUGAACUCCUGGCAAAGUGCUGCUGAGAGGUACCGGGCAGGCCAGACAACUCCACACUUUUUGUUAUGAACAGAGACCUUAAGCAGGAGGGGGAGGACACACUCCCGGAUCUCUCCAGGCAGGUGGCCCCGGCAGGGGGGGCGGGGGCGGGGGCAGGGCUGGGCUGUUUCCGGUCCAUUUCGACGUCCCCCGCUCUGUCCUUGAUGUCAGGCUCAUCUCCGGACAGGCAGAGCGCGAUGCUCUCUUCCUCGUUCUCUUCACUGGGCGGCUCACUUUUAAUCUGCCCCAUGGCAAGCCCCGGCUUGAGGCUGUUGCCAGAGUUAUCUUCACUGAAUGUGCUUGCAAAACCUGAGGUACUGUGUGAUGAUGCAUUAUAGACAUUCUUGGUACAUGCAAGCUGGUAUUUCUUGUAUCUGGGGUACUGCCUUAACGCGUCCUUCUCGGAGCUCUCCUUGCUGUCAGGCGGCACAUCGGACUCGGGCAGCAAAGCUUCUUCCUUCUCUGCUACUGGGAUGGCAGCGGCCUCAAAGCUGAUGGGGUCUGGAAGCAUCUGGUCCCUGGGGCAAGCCACCUUGGCCGUGUCCGAGUCCAUCGUCUCCUCCUCUUCCUCCUCCUCCUCCCCCGCGGAGUUCUCACGGUCCUCGUGCGCGCGGGGGCACGCAGCGUCCUUUCGGCACACGAACAGGCCAUCCUCGCUGUUCAGGAGCUGGGUCUGCAGGAAGCUGAAGCAGGAGUCCUCCAGGUUAUGCAUGCGCAGGAACUCGGCGCAGCGGAUGACCUCGCGGAUGUUUUCUCUGCUGAGUAAUAGCUUGGCGGUGUAGGCAAACUGUAACAGCGGCCCGAAGCCCCUGGCCGUGACCUGCAAAACAAACAGGGAAAUUGCCGACGUUACCAUCAGCACCGCUAUUGUCCCGAAUCCCUCAACUGAAGCAAGAUAACCAGACAGUGCUAAUGUCCCAGAAUAAAGACUGCAAAGGAGCAGUUAA